UAAAAGAACCCUAACUUCCCCCCUCAUAUUUCUCUUCUCAGUCGCAAGCCCCCAUUCAUUGAAAGUCGUCGCUGAAGACGUUGCAUUCGUCCAUCGCUGAAGACGUUACGUUCGUCCAUCGCUAAAGAUUUGGUGUGUUCAUCCGUCGUCGUUCAGAAUAGGUUUGUCCGCCGCCACAACAGGUUGUCUGUCACCGUUCACAGGUUGUUCUAUUGCUUAGUUGGGUUUGUGUAAUCUGUGGCGAAUUUGAAGUGCUUUUGAUCGUGUUCUAUACACUUUUGAAGUGCUUUUGAUCGUGUUUUGUACACUUUUGAAGGUCAGUUUUUAGAAGCCUCCAUCUUGUUGCUUUGUACUUGACUUUUGUUAAUGGAACAUUUCGACUAUUGUGGUACUGUAUUUCAUUCUUGUGAAGUUUGAAUUGGAUAUGUUGUUAGAGUCUAUUAAUGUAACAUUCAAGCGGGUUGAAGACUUAUUAGGAAAAACAAUGGUAUAUUACUACAUGUUUCGAGGUUGCCGUGUAAAAAAUUGGAAGACUAUGUAGUUAUUGAGCAUAUUGGGAAGGGAGCAUUUGGAUUGGUUUUUCUUGUUUAUCACAAGACUGAGAAGAAAAAUUUUGUUCGAGAAAUCUAGGGCAAAGACUACUAUGGCUCAUAAGGUAGACCACGAGUAUGACUAUUUGUUCAAGAUUGUUCUGAUUGGAGAUUCCGAUGUUGGAAAGUUCAACAUUCUUUCGAGAUUUAUUAGAAACGAGUUCUUCUUGGAGUCCAAACCCACCAUUGAUCUUUUGGGUUAGAUAAACAAGUUUUUUUUAUACUAGAUAUAAGUGAACUAGUUUUGUUGAUAUUUUAUUGAUAGUGGAUAUAGGUAAAUUAAAAGACAAGUUUUGAUAUAGUAUACCUUUAGGCUACACAUAUACUUUGUUUAUAUCGACAUAUAGAUGGAAUGUUUAGGCUAUUGUUAGAAGUUUGGCGUGCACAUAUAUAUGUUGUAAUGAAAUAUGUAAUGACCAACUAAUAUAUGUACGGUUCAUUGAUAUAUAUGCAAUUUCUUUGA